GGUCCAGACUCCUACGGGAGGCAGCAGUGAGGAAUAUUGGUCAAUGGCCGGAAGGCUGAACCAGCCAAGUCGCGUGAGGGAAUAAGGCCCUAUGGGUCGUAAACCUCUUUUGUCAGGGAGCAAAGGCGUCCACGUGUGGACGAGAGGAGAAUACCUGAAGAAAAAGCAUCGGCUAACUCCGUGCCAGCAGCCGCGGUAAUACGGAGGAUGCGAGCGUUAUCCGGAUUUAUUGGGUUUAAAGGGUGCGUAGGCGGAGUGUCAAGUCAGCGGUAAAAUUUCGGGGCUCAACCCCGUCGUGCCGUUGAAACUGGCGGCCUCGAGUGGGCGAGAAGUAUGCGGAAUGCGUGGUGUAGCGGUGAAAUGCGUAGAUAUCACGCAGAACUCCGAUUGCGAAGGCAGCAUACCGGCGCCCUACUGACGCUGAGGCACGAAAGCGUGGGUAUCGAACAGGAUUAGAUACCCUCGUAUAC
rnacentral:rRNA from 1 species